UGACCUCAAAUCAGGUAGGACUACCCGCUGAACUUAAGCAUAUCAAUAAGCGGAGGAAAAGAAACUAACAAGGAUUCCCCUAGUAACUGCGAGUGAAGCGGGAAAAGCUCAAAUUUAAAAUCUGUCAGUCUUUGGCUGUCCGAGUUGUAAUCUAGAGAAGUGGUAUCCGCGCUGGACCGUGUACAAGUCUCCUGGAAUGGAGCGUCAUAGAGGGUGAGAAUCCCGUCUUUGACACGGACUGCCAGGGCUUUGUGAUACGCUCUCAAAGAGUCGAGUUGUUUGGGAAUGCAGCUCAAAAUGGGUGGUAAAUUCCAUCUAAAGCUAAAUAUUGGCGAGAGACCGAUAGCGAACAAGUACCGUGAGGGAAAGAUGAAAAGAACUUUGGAAAGAGAGUUAAACAGUACGUGAAAUUGCUGAAAGGGAAACGCUUGAAGUCAGUCGCGUUGUCCAGGGAUCAACCUUGCUUUUGCUUGGUGUACUUUCUGGUUGACGGGUCAGCAUCAAUUUUGACUGUUGGAAAAAGGUCAGGGGAAUGUGGCAUCUUCGGAUGUGUUAUAGCCCUUGGUUGCAUACAAUGGUUGGGAUUGAGGAACUCAGCACGCCGCAAGGCCGGGUGUAAACCACGUACGUGCUUAGGAUG
rnacentral:rRNA from 2 species